AACCAGCACCUCAAGUGGUCAGGAUGAUUAUUGGGCCUAAAGCAUCCGUAGCCUGUUCUGUAAGUUUUCGGUUAAAUCUAUGCGCUCAACGUAUAGGCUGCCGAAAAUACUGCAGAACUAGGGAGUGGGAGAGGUAGACGGUACUCGGUAGGAAGGGGUAAAAUCCUUUGAUCUAUUGAUGACCACCUGUGGCGAAGGCGGUCUACCAGAACACGUCCGACGGUGAGGGAUGAAAGCUGGGGGAGCAAACCGG
rnacentral:rRNA from 1 species